CAGGGAAAAGAAACUAAGGCCCAAAUAGGUUAGGAAGCAGAUUUGAUGACUAAACGCAAAGGCUGGGAUGGGGUGUCUGAGUCUCAAAUGAAACUGUUUCAGACUUAGCUUCUGACUCUGAGAACCUGAGGUUUGCUGUCAAGAGCUGCUCAUUGGGAAGCAUGUGCACUGAUUCAUGGACUCCACUGAGACGCGAGCAGGAACAGAGCUGACUGCAAGGUGGCAUGUGACAUUCGUCAACCUCCCCAUGGAAGCGAUUACACAAGACGGCGAUUCUGACCAUUUCCAUCAGCUAUCAGCCAUUCAGUAUGCAAUAUGAUUUGAGGUCUGCUGUUUGCAAGAGCGCAGCCCAGAGGUGGAAUCUUUAGUGCUGUUUCCUCAUCUCGUCUGGUUCUCCCCACUCUGCACAGUGGCUGGCGUGGCACUCCCUGGGCCCUGCUGGCAAGUUAUGGACAAU